UUCCCCUUCGGGGGCAAAGUGACAGGUGGUGCAUGGUUGUCGUCAGCUCGUGUCGUGAGAUGUUGGGUUAAGUCCCGCAACGAGCGCAACCCUUAUUGUUAGUUGCCAUCAUUUAGUUGGGCACUCUAGCGAGACUGCCGGUGACAAACCGGAGGAAGGUGGGGAUGACGUCAAAUCAUCAUGCCCCUUAUGACCUGGGCUACACACGUGCUACAAUGGGAAGUACAACGAGUUGCGAAGUCGCGAGGCUAAGCUAAUCUCUUAAAGCUUCUCUCAGUUCGGAUUGUAGGCUGCAACUCGCCUACAUGAAGCCGGAAUCGCUAGUAAUCGCGGAUCAGCACGCCGCGGUGAAUACGUUCCCGGGCCUUGUACACACCGCCCGUCACACCACGAGAGUUUGUAACACCCGAAGUCGGUGAGGUAACCUUUUUGGAGCCAGCCGCCUAAGGUGGGAUAGAUGAUUGGGGUGAAGUCGUAACAAGGUAGCCGUAUCGGAAGGUGCGGCUGGAUCACC
rnacentral:rRNA from 1 species